UGGGGAAUAUUGCACAAUGGGCGAAAGCCUGAUGCAGCAACGCCGCGUGAGGGACGACGGCCUUCGGGUUGUAAACCUCUUUUAGCAAGGAAGAAGCGAAAGUGACGGUACUUGCAGAAAAAGCGCCGGCUAACUACGUGCCAGCAGCCGCGGUAAUACGUAGGGCGCAAGCGUUAUCCGGAAUUAUUGGGCGUAAAGAGCUCGUAGGCGGUUUGUCGCGUCUGCUGUGAAAAACCCGAGGCUCAACCUCGGGCCUGCAGUGGGUACGGGCAGACUAGAGUGCGGUAGGGGAGAUUGGAACUCCUGGUGUAGCGGUGGAAUGCGCAGAUAUCAGGAAGAACACCGAUGGCGAAGGCAGAUCUCUGGGCCGUAACUGACGCUGAGGAGCGAAAGGGUGGGGAGCAAACAGGCUUAGAUACCCUGGUAGUCCACCCCGUAAACGUUGGGAACUAGUUGUGGGGUCCAUUCCACGGAUUCCGUGACGCAGCUAACGCAUUAA
rnacentral:rRNA from 1 species